CUCUAUCAAUUUUUAUUAUAUAUAAUUCCACGUUAUCAACAAAACAAAAUAUUGUCUAAUUCAAAGUCUUUCUCUUCCACUCUCUCAAGCUUCAUUCAAUCCUAUUUUUUUAGAUCUUUGAAAACAUCAAUGACACGACUGAUUGAAGCUUUGAAGGACAUUAACAACUCAAAGGAUUUGAUUCUUCAAACCACGACCGGACAUAUAUCCUGGAUUUGAGAAAAAUGUGAAAGAGAAGGAUAGGUUCUAAUAUCAAAGAAUGGAAGGACAAGCAGCAAAAAGAAACUUGAAAAAUUAUUUUUGAAUGUUGUUGUGAUAGAUUAUUCUAAUGGAAAUAUAAUAAUUUGCACUUUGUGAAUAGUGUUGGAAAUUGUUUUUGGGUGUGGGAAUGAGAUUAUUCUAUUUGUUUUGUCAUUAAUUAGUGUUUUUA